rnacentral:rRNA from 2 species
UACUAAGUUUCAACAACGGAUCUCUUGGCUCUCGCAUCGAUGAAGAACGCAGCGAAAUGCGAUAAGUAAUGUGAAUUGCAGAAUUCAGUGAAUCAUCGAAUCUUUGAACGCACCUUGCGCUCCUUGGUAUUCCUUGGAGCAUGCCUGUUUGAGUAUCAUGAAA